AGUCGUAACAAGGUUUCCGUAGGUGAACCUGCGGAAGGAUCAUUACCGAGUUCAUGCCCUUCGGGGUAGAUCUCCCACCCUUUGUAUACUAUACCUCUGUUGCUUUGGCGGGCCGUCUAGCUACUGGCUUCGGCUGGUAAGUGCCCGCCAGAGGACCCAAAACCCUGAAUAUUAGUGUCGUCUGAGUAAAAAGUUUAAUAUUUAAAACUUUCAACGACGGAUCUCUUGGCUCUGGCAUCGAUGAAGAACGCAGCGAAAUGCGAUAAGUAAUGUGAAUUGCUUAAUUCAGUGAAUCAUCGAAUCUUUGAACGCACAUUGCGCCCCUUGGUAUUCCGAGGGGCAUGCCUAUUCGAGCGUCAUUAUCACCCCUCAAGCCUAGCUUGGUGUUGAGACCUGCUGUUAAGGCAGUCUCUAAAAUCAGUGGCAGUGCUGUCAGGCUCUAAGCGUAGUAAAUUCAUCGCUAUAGGGUCCUGGUGGAUACUCGCCAAAACCCCCCCAUUUUUUAAUGAUUGACCUCGGAUUAGGUAGGGAUACCCGCUGAACUUAAGCAUAUCAAUAAGCGGAGGAAAAGAAACCAACAGGGAUUGCCUCAGUAACGGCGAGUGAAGCGGCAAAAGCUCAAAUUUGAAAUCUGGCUCUUUUAGGGUCCGAGAUUGUAAUUUGUAGAAGAUGGUUUCGGGUGUGGCUCCGGUUUAAGUCUUUGGAAUAUUACAUCAUAGAGGGUGAGAAUCCCGUAUGUGACCGGCAGCCUUCGCCUAUGUGAAACUCUUUCANCGAGUCGAGUUGUUUGGGAAUGCAGCUCAAAAUGGGAGGUAUAUUUCUUCUAAAGCUAAAUAUUGGCCAGAGACCGAUAGCGCACAAGUAGAGUGAUCGAAAGAUGAAAAGCACUUUGGAAAGAGAGUUAAACAGUACGUGAAAUUGUUGAAAGGGAAGCGCUUGCACCCAGACUUGCACGCAGUUGAUCAUCCGGUGUUCUCACCGGGGCACUGUGCUGCGUUCAGGCCAGCCUCGGUUUUGGUGGCAGGAUAAAGGCCUUGGGAAUGUGGCUUCCUUCGGGGAGUGUUAUAGCCCUCGGUGCAAUGCAGCCCCCCGGGACCGAGGACCGCGCUUCGGCUAGGAUGCUGGCGUAAUGGUUUUCAGCGACC
rnacentral:rRNA from 1 species